ACCAUUACAUGUAUCUUAAGACAAAACAAUUGCAGAGGUAAAAAAUAAUUGGUUCAAAAAACUUUUGUGAGUAUGAUAAAUCACUACUAAAACAAAUUUUGUCAAACCAUCCAGUUAUUGAAAGUAAAUACCCUACUACUGCUACUGAGCAAAAGAAAAGGUGGUUGGCCUGCAUUUUGCAGUGAAUUCAAUGAAAAUGUAACAAAAGACUACAACAACUUCAGACUCUGGAAGAACCUUAAACUUGCUUUAAAAAGAGAAUGCAGAGAUCAGAAGAGAGCGAUUUACUACUGGUGGUGGACCACAAAAAAAAAACACAAGACGAGUGACUUGCUGUCUGGAAUAAUAGAGCACCAGCAACCUCUGGAUGGUAUACCAGACGAUGACCAACCUCUGGAUGGUAUACCAGACGAUGACCAUUUGGACAGUUCAGAUGAAGAUCUGAGCACAAAUGAGGAAAGGAAUCAGAACAGGUUGGAAGAGCCAGUGCACAGUGAGGGUGUACCCUCCACAUCUGCUAUAGCAUCCCUUAGAGAAGAUGCUGCCAUCGCCUUUCAGCAGAGAACAAAAAAGAUGACCAUUUAUGAAAAGUUAGCCAGAGAAUUUCAUGAGCAUAAAAUGAGAUAUCUGAAGGAAGAACAGGAAAUGAGAAUUAGUUUAGUUGAAUUGGAUAUGAAGUUGGAAGAGAGAGGUAUGAUACAGU